UACGUAGGGGUCCGAGCGUUGUCCCGGAAUUAUUGGGCGUAAAGAGCUCGUAGGCGGUUUGUCGCGUCUGCUGUGAAAUCCCGAGGCUCAACCUCGGGUCUGCAGUGGGUACGGGCAGACUGGAGUGCGGUAGGGGAGAAUGGAAUUCCUGGUGUAGCGGUGAAAUGCGCAGAUAUCAGGAGGAACACCGGUGGCGAAGGCGGUUCUCUGGGCCUUACCUGACGCUGAGGAGCGAAAGCGUGGGGAGCAAACAGG
rnacentral:rRNA from 1 species